GACGAAGGUGGCAAGCGUUAUUCGGAUUUACUGGGCAUAAAGCGCGCGUAGGCGGCUUGGCAAGUCGGGGGGUGAAAGCCCGCAGCUCACUGCGGAACUGCCUUCGAUACUGCCGGGCUUGAGGGCGGGAGGGGUGAUUGGAACUCCAGGUGUAGCGGUGAAAUGCGUAGAUAUCUGGAGGAACACCGGAGGCGAAGGCGAAUCACUGGACCGCUUCUGACGCUGAGGCGCGAAAGCUAGGGGAGCAAACAGG
rnacentral:rRNA from 1 species